rnacentral:lncRNA from 1 species
AAUCAAGCUAGAAUUCUUGUUUCCCUUUUAUUUGUUUUGCAUAUAAGGGCAAAUCAGAAUAGCUUUAGCAGCACGGGGCACCAAUCAGUCUGCGAGCCCAUCCUAUACAAGGCAUCCACAUUGUAAAAUUCAUUCCCGUGCCAAGAGACCGGCUUUAUUUAAACAAAUUGGUUCGGCCACAACCUGACUUAGACUGCUUUGUCUGGAACUAGAGAAAUGGCACAUUAUUGGCAAGACAAGUGGAACACUUUAGAUGCACACAGAGCUGAUGUGUCUGGUGGAUGCUAGAAUGUUACAGACGCUCUAUGUCCUGAAAGAUAGUCAAGGGAUAAUUCAGACAAGUAUGUCGGCAAAGAUGGCCACAUAACAGCAAUAGCUGUAUAACUGUGUCCUGCAUUAUUGCUGGCAAUUUGCAUCACGGAAAGCCUGCCAAAUUUGUCUUCACCCGAGCAUGCACACACGCAGAAAUGCAUGUGAGCAAUAAUACUUAAAUUAAUGCCUACUAGGUAGGCAAUGACAAAAAUAUAUCCUGGUACAACACAUGCUUGUAGAAGAGCCCAGAAUGUAGGUAUAUAAAAAAACUGACAAAUCUGCAUUUACAAUGAAUCAAUGCAAUUAGUAAGAACUAGCGAUUAAGAGGGAUACGAGUUAGCAAAAGAGCUAUAAAACUCGAACAGUGUUCAAAGCAUUCUACAAAAGGAGAGAGAACCCUCUCGGUCAGUUAUUGAUGCCACUGUCUGCUGCUUUGCAAGUCUGACAGUGUCAAAAAAGAACACACACACACACCGAAAUAGCAACAAAUAUGGCAAAACAUGAGAUCUGAACAAAAAAAAAAUAAUAAUGAUGCUGCACAAAAUGCAUCUUAUAUAUUACACCUGACAAAUACACAAGGACCAAACACUGGAAGUACUGGUUUGUCCAGUGAGCAACACAAGGGCCAUAUAAGGCCAGGAACCAUGCUUGCCAACCUUGGACAAAAGGAAUUUCUGGAAUGGCACACAUCAGUACAUCACCCAUGUCACAAUUUGAGAGUACUUCCACCUGCUUAAUAGUUUUGCUAAACAAAUCAGAUUCUGAGAUGCAAACAAGCAAAAAUGAAAGGCAAAUCUGCUUCUGAUGAACUGGGGCGUUUGUCACACUUCUUGUUCAGAGUUUAACAAUGUCUCUUAAGUGACGUGAAACAUGUAUUAUUAAAUUAUCACUAAUUUUACCACACUUCAACGUCAAAAUGUAGGUUACCUCUGUCACAGACAGGGUUCAAAAGUUCUCUUUUCUGCACAAAUAUUUCAGUAGAUGCUUUGGCUAAAUUAGCACAAGUAGCAUGGGUGAGUCUUGAAGUGGCCUAUGCAAAGGCAAACAUCUUGCCACUGGACCUAUAUCAUUAUCACAGCCCAAGGCACAGAAGCGUAGUUCAAAGGGACAUAAAACCAGCCAGCACACUGAUGCUAACAGGCAAAGUGUCUACAUAAAUAAUGACUGCAUAACAACAUUCCUUAAUGCGAGGAACGUCAACACGGCAGUGCAAAAGAACAAAUGAUGAGAUGCACAAGGAAGACUGCCUGUCCACCAAUGCUUUGUCAAUGUUCAUACCCACAUGGCAGCAUGUGAUGACAGCCGUGGCAACAAAUCAACAAUGGCACAUUCCUGACAGUUUGAAUGUACGACAAAAUCUCCUGCCAGUAUUUGACAAAAGAUGAGCAAUU